rnacentral:lncRNA from 1 species
CUGCAGAAAGCCAGUCUUACAUGACCCUGUACAACCUCCUGGACUUUCCCGCGGGCGUGGUGCCUGUCAGGACGAGGGGGAACUGGCCUUCUACAAGGGGUACUACGGAGAUAGUUCUGACAAAAAUUUCUUGGAGGACUCAACCUUCUCCUGCACCUGGGCAUGGAGGAUUCUACCUUUUGACUACUUGAUGCACCAACUUCCUUGGGAGAUGGCUGAGUGUGUAUAUAUAUUGGGAUGCCUGGGAGUCCUGUUUCCGCCGACAUCACCCACAAAAUCAGCCACAACUACUGACAACUCGUCUGGAGUUAAGAUAACCCCCAUGCUCCAAUGAAGACGAAUUCUGAGACUUGAGGAGACUGAGGUGUA